rnacentral:rRNA from 1 species
AUUGAACGCUGGCGGCAGGCUUAACACAUGCAAGUCGAGCGGAGAUGAGGUGCUUGCACCUUAUCUUAGCGGCGGACGGGUGAGUAAUGCUUAGGAAUCUGCCUAUUAGUGGGGGACAACAUUCCGAAAGGAAUGCUAAUACCGCAUACGUCCUACGGGAGAAAGCAGGGGAUCUUCGGACCUUGCGCUAAUAGAUGAGCCUAAGUCGGAUUAGCUAGUUGGUGGGGUAAAGGCCUACCAAGGCGACGAUCUGUAGCGGGUCUGAGAGGAUGACCCGCCACACUGGGACUGAGACACGGCCCAGACUCCUACGGGAGGCAGCAGUGGGGAAUAUUGGACAAUGGGGGGAACCCUGAUCCAGCCAUGCCGUGUGUGUGAAGAAGGCCUUAUGGUUGUAAAGCACUUUAAGCGAGGAGGAGGCUACUGAGACUAAUACUCUUGGAUAGUGGACGUUACUCGCAGAAUAAGCACCGGCUAACUCUGUGCCAGCAGCCGCCGUAA